GAAGUUAAUGUGGAAGCCAGCAAUCGCAUUUCGUUUUCAUGUUACCAGCUACCUCUGAUAAGCAUUUCAUCAUAACAAUUCGAUUUUCAGGGUGAUCCAUUGCAAAAGAGUGUGCCGAAAGGAAAUUUAACAAGUGGACUUGUGCACUUCUGAAACCUGAUUCAUUCCAUGACAUAAUGCAUAUUGCAGGCAUCCUGUCUCUGGAACUGUGUUGUCAAGAAAAAGAGUGCUAUGUUCUCAGUGUUCUACUCGGCCGUGAACUUCCUGGGGCCACAUAACCCUGGGACUGGCCGGCACAGUAGGAGCUAAAUAAAUGACUUCUAAGAGCUUUGGAUAUAAUAAUUGGAAUGAGGCUAUUCUAGAAGGUGGAGAACUUUUGCAUAAAAAUUAAACCAUUCCCCACGGACAUCAGUUAAUAUCAGAGAAAAAAGGAACUCAAGCAUCAUUUGUCAUUUCUGACAGCAAUGCUGAGUGGCCUAACGAAAACUGCCAUGGUUGUCUUGUUGAAGGGGUCCUUCAUUUGCCUCCCACGCUAUGUGGUAUCCUUCCUACAGCUAUCCACCUCCCUCCACAACCCCUGAACCUGGCUGCCAAGUGCACGCAGAUCAAAAUAGACAGGAGGUGAGCAUAUA